AUUGAACGCUGGCGGGAUGCUUUACACAUGCAAGUCGAACGGCAGCACGGGGCAACCUGGUGGCGAGUGGCGAACGGGUGAGUAAUACAUCGGAACGUGCCCAAUCGUGGGGGAUAACGUAGCGAAAGUUACGCUAAUACCGCAUACGAUCUACGGAUGAAAGCGGGGGAUCGCAAGACCUCGCGCGAAUGGAGCGGCCGAUGUCAGAUUAGGUAGUUGGUGGGGUAAAGGCUCACCAAGCCGACGAUCUGUAGCUGGUCUGAGAGGACGACCAGCCACACUGGGACUGAGACACGGCCCAGACUCCUACGGGAGGCAGCAGUGGGGAAUUUUGGACAAUGGGCGCAAGCCUGAUCCAGCCAUUCCGCGUGCAGGAUGAAGGCCUUCGGGUUGUAAACUGCUUUUGUACGGAACGAAACGGUGAGCUCUAAUACAGUUUGCUAAUGACGGUACCGUAAGAAUAAGCACCGGCUAACUACGUGCCAGCCGCCGCAGUAA
rnacentral:rRNA from 1 species